rnacentral:rRNA from 1 species
AUUGCACGCUGGCGGAAUGCUUUACACAUGCAAGUCGAACGGCAGCACGGACUUCGGUCUGGUGGCGAGUGGCGAACGGGUGAGUAAUGUAUCGGAACGUGCCCAGUCGUGGGGGAUAACGUCGUGAAAAUUACGCUAAUACCGCCUACGAUCUAUGGAUGAAAGCGGGGGAUCGCAAGACCACGCGCGAUUGGAGCGGCCGAUAUCAGAUUAGGUAGUUGGGUGGGUAAAGGCCCACCAAGCCAACGAUCUGUAGCUGGUCUGAGAGGACGACCAGCCACACUGGAACUGAGACACGGUCCAGACUCCUACGGGAGGCAGCAGUGGGAAAUUUUGGACAAUGGGCGAAAGCCUGAUCCAGCCAUUCCGCGUGCAGGAUGAAGGCCCUCGGGUUGUAAACUGCUUUUGUACAGAACGAAAAGGUUUCUACUAAUACAAGGAGCACAUGACGUUACUGUAAGAAUAAGCACCGGCUAACUACGUGCCAGCAGCCGCCGUAA